UACGGAGGGUGCAAGCGUUAUCCGGAUUCACUGGGUUUAAAGGGAGCGCAGGCGGGCUUGUAAGUCAGUGGUGAAAUACCCGUGCUUAACAUGGGAACUGCCAUUGAUACUAUAGAUCUUGAAUAUCGUUGAGGUUUGCGGAAUGGGUCAUGUAGCGGUGAAAUGCAUAGAUAUGACCCGGAACACCUAUUGCGAAGGCAGCAGGCUAAGCGAAGAUUGACGCUGAGGCUCGAAAGCGUGGGGAUCAAACAGG
rnacentral:rRNA from 1 species